AAGUCGUAACAAGGUUUCCGUAGGUGAACCUGCGGAAGGAUCAUUACAAAUCAUGUGGUGUUGGUAUGAAAGUAUCAACGCUAAUUGUUCGGUGCAGCAAUGCAUCGUUUCGCGCUUGUAUGUUUGUCAGAGUAAAGAUACACUUUAAAGAGACAACUUUUAACAAUGGAUCUCUUGGCUCUU
rnacentral:misc_RNA from 1 species